GACAAGAGGCAAGCAUGAGUGUUCUUAGUGGGUACUGCUAUCUCAGAGCCUUCAUUUACUUAAUUGAAAGUGUUUAAAUAAUGCUCAGGGUCCUGGCUGGGAAAUGAACAUCAUGGAAGAGGUUUAAGUGAAAGAAAGAACGAGUGAGGUUCUGAAACCCUGGUACAGAUCUCCUCCACUUACUUAAAAAGUCAAGCUGAUGAGAUCAAGUCAUCUCAUUGGCUAUCUACCAUCACUACCUUCAUAGCUACCAUGUACUAACAUGAUGGGUGAAAUAUGGCAAGAUAAUAAUGAUGAUGAUGGUGUUGAUGUGACGGUGAUCAUGAGAAUAGUGAUCACUUAGACUCAUGGAUGUUCCAUCUUCUAUCAGAUCUCUUGCCUGAUAAUGUUCCAAAGUUUGGAAACUGUGUUUGAUGAUACCCCUUUAGCCUCCACAAGGUUAAAUUCAUAGACCUCAUGACCUAGAGUCACUUAAGACUUGGUUCUAGAGUGUUUCAGGUACGUUUUACAUCAAACAAGUUUUUAUGAGUCAAUCUGGGAAUUUAAUUAUCAUUUAUAAACUUGUUCCCUUGCUAAAAAUGUAUUUUGAGUCCAAAACAAAUAAAUUAAAAAUUUUAAGGAAACGAUCCUUUAAAGUAGGAAAUUAUCUCAACUUGUUCUUGUAAUUCUAUAUCAGCACUUAAUAAAAUAUUUUAAUUUGGUUUUGGAAUAAAAGCGAUAGCUUAAUUUUAAUAAUGGAGGAGAACAGUAGGAUACCUAAAAAAUGAACAGUAUUGCAUAUAAGUUCUUUGAAUUAAUUAAAUACAAAGUCAUUUAUAUUUAGUUAUUUGACUUUGAAAUAUAGGGUAAGUUUUUAAACUUCGAAUGUUUUAAUGAUGUUUUUCUUAUUUUGAUGUUAACGUGAAUUCUUACAUCUCUCCACUCACAUAUUUUGCCUACUCUUGGCUAAUCCUGAGUGGUAGGGAGAGCUAACCUAAAAUUAAAAGUGUGUUUCAAACAAUCUACAAAUUAGUUGAUCCAAGCACAGAUAAUCAAGUACAGAUGGUAUUAGUACUACUUAGGUAGUGAUGGGCUACAGGAAAAUAGAAUGAGAGGAAUAUGCAGUUUGGGUGAGCUAUUUAACUGAAUCUGGGUGGCAAUAUGCUUCUGAGAGUUUUUUAAGAUCUUUCCAGUGGUGGAGUAUAUAGAGAUAACUCCAGUAUUAAUUAUAACGUUGGCAUACGAAAAAAACCCAUAUGCUACAUCUCUUACCUCAUUCAUUGCUUGUACUGAUGAGCUGAUUUGGUCUCUAAUCCUGGGUUCUUUUCCUUUCUUGAAGCCCCAUCUGAUUCCCUCUCUCUUCGUUGAUAGGGACACCCUUUCUGGUUGGAGGAAGACCAUUUUCAAGACAAAAGAAUAUGGGUGGCUGCACUCCUCUGCUAGGACUACACCAGAGUUAAUAUGAAAGCUUCACAUGUGAGAUAAAUGCACUCAAAGACUCCUCACAAGUAGCUCUUUGGAGCUUCAGAUGUGAAAUGGAUCAUUCCUCAAUCUGUAAUAGACCCUUCUGUGAAGCUCUUCAAUCAAACCUGAGAAUUCAAGGCAUUUUGUAGCAUCCUAAACAGAAGGAUAUUGAAGGGAGCUGAUUCUGCUUUGAUCCUUGUGCUUGUUGUCAAAGCGCUUGGGAUUGAAGAGACUGUUGGCUACAAUUGACUGUGACAAUUAGGAGAUGAUCAGAGCCCUAGAGUGGAGCACUUAAAGGAGAGGUAAUGAGUGAAUGAAUGAAAAGGCAGGGAUUAUUUGCCAUUCUAAGCGGGGAUUGUCAGAACAUUUCUACUUGACUGAAAUUGUUUUGGAAGGGCAAGCUGUGACUUGUCAUUUCGAGCAUAUAGUCAUUUCUGUCUGACUAAUAUCAUGGAGACUUCAGAGAAGGUGGCUGAGGCGUCUGGCUUACCUACAGUGAUCAGCUCUACAGAGAACUGAAUGGUGCAGUGGGGACAUAUAUUUGCGAAGCCACAUCUUUUCUUUUGUGGUAGGAUUGUGACUGCAUAUACACGUACUUAUGUUACUGACCUUCCCAAGUUGGUGCCCAUCUAGAUCCUUCUGCCUGGUGUCAAACAAGCCAAUAGAAUGAGACUAAGUUUGGUUCAGAAGCAAAGGAAAGCUUUAUUCUUGGAUCAGAGAAUGGGGAGGCGCGAGCUCCCGCUCUAGAGCCUCAGGCUUUCCCUAUCAGGUCGUGGGUGGGGCUGCUUUACAGGCUUCUCGUCAGCGGGAGGGGAGGGCGUUGAGGUCUCCCGGGGCGCGCAGCUGCGCCGCUCACGCUCCAGAUGGCAGUGCCGGGCGCAGCGUCUCUUCACACGGCCCUCUGUCGCCAUCUUGAAUUGAGUGUUGGGCUCCGCGUCUGCACACGAUCUUGAGCUGAGGCGUCCAGUGCGGCCAUUUUGCUCUGGGAACUCUGGUCUGAAGCGCCGGGCGCAAGGCCUCUGCACACAGCCGCCUAUGAGCAAGUGAAACGACCAAGGACAAAGAAAAAAAAGAAAGGUUAGGCUUUAUUUUAUUAUCCUCUGUUUUUAUUUCUGGGUGACACAUAUGUAUGUAAAUAUGUAUAUAUGACCAAGUUUGAAACUCUUGUAAUUCUGAUCCUGGUAGCAUCUUAUGGGAAGGGAAAGAUUCAAUGCACUUUUUUUUGUUUUUGUUUUUUGCGGUACGCGGGCCUCUCACUGCUGUGGCCUCUCUCGUUGCGGAGCACAGGCUCCGGACGCGCAGGCUCAGCGGCCAUGGCACACGGGCCCAGCCGCUCCGCGGCAUGUGGGAUCUUCCCGGACCAGGGCACGAACCCGUGUCCCCUGCAUCGGCAGGCGGACUCUCAACCACUGUGCCACCAGGGAAGCCCUCAAUGCACUUUAAUUUCAUUUAACUUUGUUCACCGUGACGUAGUUGCCAUGAAAAUAGCCAGGCGGGAACUUUACUCAGUGCUCUGUGGUGACCUAAAUGGGAAGGAAAUCUAAAACAGCAUGGAUAUAUGUAUAUGUAUAACUGCUUCACUUUGCUGUACAGCAAGAAACUAACACAACAUUGUAAAGCAACUAUAUUCCAAUAAAAAUUAAUAAUAAAUUA